AGCUUAUUUAGUCAUUCACUUACUGAAGGAAAGUUUGGUUGCUUCCAAGUUUUGGCAAUUAUGAAGAAAGCUGCUAUAAACAUCUAUAUUCAGAUUUUU